CUCGACCAAAUAAAUUGAUUGCUAUAAAACACUUUCACUGACCAAAUAUUGGUUGGUAAAGUUUUUGGUUAGUUUAGAUUGGAAUAAAUUCUUAUGCCCUGCUACAACCAAAACUUGGUUAUUGAUUUCAUGUAUUAGUUUUGUCACUAAUUGUUGGGUUUAUGACACAAAUUAGGUUAGAUUAUUUGGAAAAAAAGAAUUGUUUCCUUAUUUUCACGUGAUUAUAUAGAAAUAUAUUAUUUCCUUAUUCCAUAUUAUUUCCAUUUUUAUGGUAAAGUAUGUAUCUAUAAAUAGUUGCCUCUUCUUUUAGUUUUGUUUAAGCAAAAAUAAAACAUAUUUCUCUCUAUAUUAUCAUUACAAUAAAACAUCGUUCCUCUGCUUUAACUCUCUUCUGUUCCUACUUUAAUCUGGUUUCAUCUUUGUGAUCUUGUUACAUAUUUCAUACAACGUCAUUAAUCUCAAUCCUUGCAUCGCUGUUGGGAUCAACAAUUGGUACUAGAGCAAUUUUGGUAACUUGCUAGUUCCAAUAAGUGUUAUCAGAGCUAGGCUAUAGAAUUUUUGUGAUUUGAUUGAUAUUUUUCAGAGAUGGCUUCGUUAAAAUAUGGUAUUCCAUUGUUAGAUCGUAAUACAAGGUUUUUCUGUGGCAAGAAAAGAUAAGGGUUAUUUUGGCGCAAUUGGAUUUGGACGAUGCAUUGCUAGAUUUUGACAAGAUGCCAGUUGAAUAGACAACGAAAGGAUAGAAAGGCUUUAUCGUAGAUUCAUCUUCAUUUAUCUAAUAAUAUUUUGUAAAACAUCUUGAAGGAGAAAAUGGCGGCUGCUUUGUGGUUCAAACUGGAGCAGUUGUGCAUGAUUAAAAGUCUCAUUAGCAAAUUGGCUCUAAAGCAAAAACUAUAUUCCCAUCGCAUGGUGGAAGAAGGAUCACUAGAAGACCACCUUGUUGUUUUCGAGGAAAUUAUCAUAGAUUUAGAGACAUUGGAGGUUAAGUAUGAAGAGGAGGAUUUGACUUUGAUCUUGUUGCAUCAUUGCCCCCUCUUAUUCGUCAUUUUGGGACACGAUCUUGCACUUACCAUUGAAGAUGUUUACGAUGCCCUAUUCUCAAAGGAGAAGAUGAAGCACUUGUAUCUCAUGUUGAUUGAUGGAUGGGCAGAUCGAAAGUGAAAAUAUAUAAUCUGAGAAAACAUUAUUUAAGUUGUUAGGUCCUUUGACACCGAGAUGGAGGUUGUUAGGCAAUUUGUUGUCAAACGACCUCCCCUGGGUUAUGAUAUUACUCGGUUUAAGUUUUUAGUCGGCCUGGCCAAAUGACUGAAUGGGAUCCAACACCACAUUCGAGGCGAUACGACCCGAAGGUUAAUUGGGUCAUUCGAAGCAACCUAAAUAAUUUAUUGUUGCUCGUGGCCUACACUUCCUUGGAUGGCCAAUAAUUGAGAGAAUAUCUUGUGAGCCCAUUUAAUUGUCUCUUGGGCCUCCAACUUGACCCAUUGUUUAACCUACCUAUACUUACCUUAUUUGGGCCACUUGAUUGAGAGAUAAAUUGGUCUCGUUCUCUCAUUUUGAGAGAAUUGUCGCUGCCUCCUAUUCUUGGACGAUUUUUGUAGUUUCUUCUUCCAUCUUCUCUGCCUCUUUUUGUCUAUCGUCUUAGUGGUGAUAGUUUAUGAGAUUUCUUGCUCCUUUGUGGUCUCCUAAGUAAUAUAUCUCAUUGGCAACCGGAAGAAAACUUGGUAUUGUCUUGGGUUCGUAGUUGUCGGCUUUGUGGUGUUGGAAGUGGGUAUAAACUGAGCUUGGGUUAUCUUUGGUGAUCAAUAUCAUCACCUUACAGAUAAUUCAAACACUAUCUGAUUUCACAAAAGAAACCAUUGAUAAUGCAUUGUCAUGAAGACAAAAUGCAAAUAGGUCACGAAAUAUGCAAAAACCACACAUUUACGAUUCCAGCUUCUGUAGGACAAAAUGAUAGAAAACUAUUCAAAAUGUAACGGUACCAUGGGCAGAACAGUAAGGAUAGGUCGAAAGAGGCAGGUACCAUCCAAACUUCCUGAAAUAAACUAU
rnacentral:lncRNA from 1 species